rnacentral:rRNA from 1 species
UACAGCAUAACGCUAAUGCACUGGAUCCCAUUAGAACUUUACAGUUAAAUGCACUUAGGCUAGAGUAGUACUGGGAUGGGUGACCUCUUGGGAAGUCCUAGUGUUUUAC